UACAGAGGGUGCAAGCGUUAAUCGGAAUUACUGGGCGUAAAGCGUGCGCAGGCGGUUAUGCAAGACAGAGGUGAAAUCCCCGGGCUCAACCUGGGAACUGCCUUUGUGACUGCAUAGCUAGAGUGCGGCAGAGGGGGAUGGAAUUCCGCGUGUAGCAGUGAAAUGCGUAGAUAUGCGGAGGAACACCGAUGGCGAAGGCAAUCCCCUGGGCCUGCACUGACGCUCAUGCACGAAAGCGUGGGGAGCAAACAGG
rnacentral:rRNA from 1 species